rnacentral:tRNA from 1 species
UGUGGCUCAGUGGUAUGGCGCUUGUCUAGCAUGCAUGAGGCCCUAGGUUCGAUUCCUGGCA